ensembl:lncRNA
GACCUGCUUCCUUCCACUUAACCUUCACCAGCCUCUUGCGCUCCCACUGGCACCAUGCUGAGGAAGGCCCUGAUAGUCACAGCCUGGUUUACCUUGGCUGUGGCUUACCCUGUAAUACUCCCGGACUUGACCACUGACCUUGAGUUGAUUAAUGCCCUUGGAUUUACCGCUGAACUAGAGUCCCCUGCCAUCCUGGAGUCAUCUACUUACCCGGAGUCCACUGUCACCCCAGAGUCCCCCACCGACCUGGAGUCAUCCACCACCACAGAAUUCACUGCCACCUUGGAGUUGACCACUGACCCAGAGUCCCCCACCGACCUGGAGUUGUCCACCACCGCGGAGUCCACUGCUGCCCUGAAGUUGACCACUGACCCAGAGUUCUCCACCGAUCUGGAAUUUUCCACUGACCUGGAGUCCUCCACCGACCUGGAGUUGUCCACUGACCUGGAGUCCACGGCCACCCCAGAGCCAACCACUGACCUACUCUCCAUUGGUGUAGAAUCGACCACGGAUGUGCAUCUUGAGAACACACCAACCUUUGUGUACUUGAUUUCCCAAUGUAAGCUGAUGAUCAAAGCCAUCCUCCAUUUUGUUGUCCUAGAAUUAUCUACUGAAGUGGAAUCAAACACUGAUAGCUCUGACGAAGCAACUGCUGAGGCUACAGGUAAGGAUUUCUGACUUCAAAAAUGCAGAAAUUUCUUCCUUCCUCCUUUUUCUUGUUUAUAGGCCAUUGCAUAGAAAUGUCCUGAGGGGGGCGCCUGGGUGGCGCAGUCGGUUAAGCGUCCGACUUCAGCCAGGUCACGAUCUCGCGGUCCGGGAGUUCGAGCCCCGCGUCAGGCUCUGGGCUGAUGGCUCGGAGCUUGGAGCCUGUUUCCGAUUCUGUGUCUCCCUCUCUCUCUGCCCCUCCCCCGUUCAUGCUCUGUCUCUCUCUGUCCCGAAGGAAAAAAAAAAAAAAAAAGUUGAAAAAAAAAAGAAAUGUCCUGAGGUAUCUUAUACAUUUGGGGAUACUUUUGCUGCUUUGUUCUCUAUGGUAGAGGGAAGUUUUGCCAAAAGUUCUCUGAAACUUGUAGAAAAUUGAAACAUUUUCCCCGAGUGUCAGAAACCGGAAUUGCUUGGAUGCCAACAUAGCUCCAUCCCAGAGGUCUGCCCAGACCUGACCAGGACCAGCCUUCAGGGCUUCUCAAAGAGGAGGGGCUUGGUGUCUCCAAUGGACUGAAGUAUGUGGUGGCCAAAAAGGGGUUGACAAUUUCCUUUUCUCUGCCAGUUCAUUACCAUUCAGUUUACAUAGAGAACUUUUUGAGAGAAGGUUAUGGUAAAUGUAAAUCUUAUUUGAAUAUAGACUAAACAAAAGAGAAAAGAGAUUUAAAAGCUUUAUGGGUUAAGCAGUGGUCCUAUCUUUGCCCAUCCCUCUUUCCAGUCUCUACCUUCUUUCAUUUUUCUGUCUUCCACCUAGCCAAGGGGCCAUAAGAUUUCGAUGCUUUCUACCCCCACAAAACAAACCCCAAUACUUUAAGGGAUGCCUGGGAUGUUUGCUAAGAAAGACUCUUGGGUCUUACCUACAAAAGCAAAUUUCUAUACGAUCUGAUUCUUACGUCUGCAAACAAUAGCUAAAAUUAAUCGCGAUUGUCUAUAUUCCAGCACUGCUCUAAGUGUAUUGGGGUAUCGCAGGGAGUAGUGGGAGGAAUCUAGAAAUGGUAUGUUAGUGGAAAGGCCUAUUUUGAGAAAGUGUUGUUUCCCUGGCUUUAACAUCUUCCUCUUCCACUAAUUGUCUUCCUCGAAGAAUUGACAUCAUUUGCAACACGAAGCUCUACUUCACUAUUGUGUUCUAAUUACCCAAACUGUAAUCUGGCUUGAUUAAAGAGUUCAUCUGUGUUAAUGGUGUCUCCCCCUGCCCCCUCCCAUGGGGCGUUAGGAAAAUUCUCAUGUUUGACUACAAGAUCCAUCUGGUCAUUUUUGCUAAUACACUGGACCUCGUACCUGCUUAUCAAGAGAUGCUUUCUGACUGUGGAAUUUACCCAUAAAAUGGGGGUCUUUGUUUUUUUCCCCUCACCAUAAUGUAUUUAUUUAUUUAACUUUUUUUUUUCAGUUUUAUUGGGAUGUAAUUGACAUCAGCUUAAGGUGUACAAUGUAGUGAUUUGAUAUGAAUGUAUAUUGAGAAGUUGUGGUUUUUAAUAGAGAACAUCAAUGGAAGUUUAAACCUUUUAAGUUAAGAAAUGUACUCCUUUAUUUCUAGAAAAUGUCACUGCCACUUAUUCAGAAGAGCCCAUGACUAGAGGACCAGGUAAGGCCAAACAGCUUUGUCUUUCUUGCCUAUUCUUGGCCUUUAAGGGAUUUUUUUUUCCUUGGGAGGCUUUGCAGAACAGACUCAGGAAGUGGGACUCUGGUAGGUACUCUGCCUCUGUUUAUACCCUUCUCACUCAUGUCUGCUCAGCUUCUGGGGGAGAAGAGGGAAUGAAGUUAUAACAAGUGCACGUGCUGCUCUUAGGGACUUGUAAGUGAGUGGAGACCUCCCCUUAAACCAGAUCAUCCUCAUGGAGUGCAUCUGUGUUCCAUUUCUAACAGUAGGAUUUCAGGCAUGGCAGAGGACCCUGGAAGUUGGGAGAAGGAAGGUGUGGGUGCCACAGACUUAGUGGAGCCCUCUGUUUACCAGGGCUACGUGACACGGUUAACUGAACGCUAGACCCACUGCGAGUGAUCCUUACUGACGUGAAUAAAACCAUUUCUUUACUUAAUUUCA